GUAGCAGCAGAACACACGGGACCGAAAUGGCGUAGCGCGCAGUCCUCCGCCGCAGCAGCGAAGCGGGGCCAGGCUCACUGAACGUCUCAGAGCCUGGCCAGUCGAACUCAACUGACGAGUAUGAUGGAGGUGAUUUUAGUUCCAGUUCACUCGCUUCGAAACCAGCACGAGAUCACCGGAGACGUGCCCUUCAUAUGUCAUAUCAAGAAGAGAAAGGAACAGUGAUGAAAUUAACUCAUGACCCGAUGAGACCGUCAUGCCAUUGUUCUUCGAACUACUCUUCAUCCUGAUAAGUUUACAUUCCUCCAGCAUUAUUCAAGGGAAAUGUUUGUUCAGCAUACCAACUGUCAUUGGUCUAUGAACAUAUCAUCUCUACACUUUGGAGACAACAACUGAAGUAGUUUUUAUCCAUGAAAGAACCAUAAGCUCUUCAUGUCCAAAAAAAAGUAACACAAUUGUGCCACAGUACAGAGCCAUCCUCUGUUCAUAUUUGUUACAAAUAAAGUCCAGUCUAAUAUUUAUAUGGUUGCAGGUUGUGUAAAAAAAAAAAAAAAAUUAACAUGGAAAUAGUGGAAGCGCACUUGCUUUGCAGGUAAAACAAAUGCACAUUUAAAAACUAAAUCAUGCAAACAAGAUGAAGUAGCUUCAUCUAACAGUUUUAUUAUCUGCAGAUUAAGUGCCUAGACGCAUCUUUUUUUAAAAAGCUCCCAUCUCCCGAUUGUCUGUUUCCAUGGCUUAGCUUUAAAACUACCAGUAAAGCACUAUUUGGUCAUUUAUUUAAUAAAUGUCUUGAAAAUGGCUGAAAAUUUAUUUUCUGAGGCGACAAACUGUAGACAGAUAGCUGUUCUCUUAAUUCAGAACUCAUAUUGGUGCUUUCGCAAAACCAUGAACCAUGCUUUCAUAUUUUCUAAGUACUGACAAACUGAGACAGACAGUGGCACACUUACCUGAGCAUAAGCUUUAUAAAUUCCACAGUUAAACCUUUCUAGUGGGGGUGGGGUGCUAAUGAGAUGCAGGACAUAAUGGAAUAUAAUUAUUUUACUACCUCAGAAGUUACCACAGCUCAGACCCACACAGCGAGCACUACGAUCAAACUAUACUCGCAUGCUUUCCUCACAGUAAUAUAAAUCGAGUCAUUGUCUGUCAGAUGCUUUGGAAAUCAUUUGGAAUAGUGAGCUUCUUUCUUUUCACUUCAUUUAUGUUAUUUUAUUAAUAGGUUUGGGAAUAUCACAUAAAUCAUAUAGAGACCUUGUAGUUCACUGGUCAGACUCAGUCAGCCAAAAGUUUGGAAUAAUUUUUUUAGUUUUUUUUAACUAUUGUGUCCUGAAGGACCAUGUUAUACUGAACACUGCAGCAAUAUAUGCUGAAAAUUUAGCUCUGCCAUUAAAAAAAAUUGAUUACAUUUUGAAAUAUACAUGAAAUAUAAUAUACAUAUGUACUAUUUUACAUUACUGUUUUUAAUGUAUUUUUAAUCAAAUAAAUGUAGCCUUUGUGAGCAUAAAAUCGUAAAACCAAAACCCUUAAAUAAAUAAAUAAUCUGAAUUAUUCCAAAGGUCUGGCCCUCAGUAUCUAUUUGUCCUACAUGUUUUCCAAGAGGAUAAAUUAGAGUGAAAUAAACAUGUCAUUUUCAUCUAGCAACGUUCUCAUUGUUAUCAUCCUCAUUAGGCUUGAAGGCAGGCGGUAGAAUGGUUAAAUGUUAGACCCUGGUCACAAUGUUUUUAAAUUGUUGUUAAUAGUUUAGUAUUGUUAAUGUAUCAUCUCAAAUAGAUUAUGGCAAGUUGGUCACAGCCUUUGCUCAGUCCUCAGCAACAGUGCACUGUGAACAUAGGAACUUAACUUCAUCUGUGUUGAGAAAAUGUACCGAGUUUUUGUUUAGUUUUUACAGUAGUUUAGUUUCUAUCAUAUGGAUUGGUAGAAAUAAGAGUGUCAUGUACAGAGUAUGAAUUUUCAUGAAAAAAAAA